rnacentral:rRNA from 1 species
AACGAACGCUGGCGGCAUGCCUAACACAUGCAAGUCGAACGAAGCCUUCGGGCUUAGUGGCGCACGGGUGCGUAACGCGUGGGAAUCUGCCCUUGGGUUCGGAAUAACAGUUAGAAAUAGACUGCUAAUACCGAAUGAUGUCUUCGGACCAAAGAAUUUAUCGCCCAAGGAUGAGCCCGCGUCGGAUUAGCUAGUUGGUGAGGUAAAGGCUCACCAAGGCGACGAUCCGUAGCUGGUCUGAGAGGAUGAUCAGCCACACUGGGACUGAGACACGGCCCAGACUCCUACGGGAGGCAGCAGUGGGGGAAUAUUGGACAAUGGGCGAAAGCCUGAUCCAGCAAUGCCGCGUGAGUGAUGAAGGCCUUAGGGUUGUAAAGCUCUUUUACCCGGGAUGAUAAUGACAGUACCGGGAGAAUAAGCCCCGGCUAACUCCGUGCCAGCAGCCGCGGUAAU